UCUCUAAUAAUUCAAGGGUUAGAAUAUAUGACUGUUAAUCAUAUUGUAUAGGUUCGAGUCCUAUUUAGAGAG
rnacentral:tRNA from 2 species